UAAAAUAUUUAUUUUCAGACAAAAAAUAAAACCUGUAAACAAUUUCUAUCUGUAUUUACUUGUUCAAGUGCCAGUGAAACGAACGAUAGAAAAGAAGAAGCAUUCAAACUCUUUGCAAAACUUUCGCUUUGGAUACAAAAGAUCAAGUGAAAAUGAUACUGGAAAGACUGUUUACCGUUUGACUCCUGUCCCAAUCUAACAUAGUGGGUUCAAAAAGAAAGGACCGCGCUGGAAACAUGAGGGCGUUAAAAGAAUCAACACUUUUUGAAUUAAUUAUCGGUAGGUCUAA